CAUAAAACUCUCAUAGGGGCUGGACAACACAACAAACUAUAAUAAUUAUAAUGUUUAUAAAGUUUAGGAAUAUCAAGCUUUUUUUUUUUUUUUUUUUAACAAGGCUGAAAGAUUAACAAUCUUUCCUUUUUGGAUUUUCUCUUUUUGUUUGAAUGUUGCUCAGUGCUGCUUUCUGGGCUUUUUGAGAAGGAGGGGUGGUGCUCAUCAAGGGAGUUUUGAACUGCAUUAUAGGACUCUCAGAGACAGGGUCCCCUGCUACAGUGCUACGAACAUCGUAACAGCAGUUCCAUCAGGAGAAUCUCGAAUGAGAGACUGUGUUGGUCCAGCUGUCGGUUGAUGGCUGGACUGCAUCUUUCCCAAACCUGCCGUGAUUGAAAUGUUACAGCACUGGUCCAGGAAACUGGUUUCAGAUCUGGAAGAACUGAGCGAUCAGAGGCCAUUCCAAACAGGACCUCCUCAACCACCAGCCACACACGAGCAGCCCCUCAGCCUGAACCAGCAACAAAGAUAUCCAUGGUGGGCAUAAUGAGGCAGGGAGAGUCCAGCGUGGGGACUGGUGUGCAAUAGGCCGCAGCAUGUCCACAGCUGAGAUGAAGACCCUGUAUGAGGACACUUGUCAUUACUCCCGGGGCCUCUUGGGCGUUAUAUAGACUAUCAUGGAAUCUUGGAUGAUUCCAUUUGGUCUAGAAGGGGGGAGUGAAGGGUGUGAUUGGAGAUAACCUCACCUUCAUAAUCUUAUUUUUAUUUUGUUUUAUACAUUUAUAUGUACUUAUUAUUUUUACAGUUUACUUAAUUUAGCUUUAUGAACUUUGCUCUCUUUUUAACUGUGUCAAUGACGCAAGGCUUUGGAGGUUGUUUGCACUUCAGGAAUCGGGAUCUUGUCUUGGGUAUGGGGAGAAAAUACCCAAGGGUUCUUUCUCUUCUGGCUUUCUCUCUCUCUGGAUUGUAAAUGUGUUGACCUACUGAAAUAUAAUUAUACUGUGUUGACUUGAUGUACUUUUACUCUUUUGUAAUUGUAUCUAUUAAAUUUGUUUCUUUUAUAUAUCUGUAAUACUGAAACAAUGUUUCCAGUAAACUUCAACAUAUUUUAAAUUCUAAAC
rnacentral:lncRNA from 1 species